rnacentral:rRNA from 1 species
GUAGCGCCUCGUGAAUUCAUCUCCGGGGGUAGAGCACUGUUUCGGCAAGGGGGUCAUCCCGACUUACCAACCCGAUGCAAACUGCGAAUACCGGAGAAUGUUAUCACGGGAGACACACGGCGGGUGCUAACGUCCGUCGUGAAGAGGGAAACAACCCAGACCGCCAGCUAAGGUCCCAAAGUCAUGGUUAAGUGGGAAACGAUGUGGGAAGGCCCAGACAGCCAGGAUGUUGGCUUAGAAGCAGCCAUCAUUUAAAGAAAGCGUAAUAGCUCACUGGUCGAGUCGGCCUGCGCGGAAGAUGUAACGGGGCUAAACCAUGCACCGAAGCUGCGGCAGCGACGCUGAUGCGUUGUUGGGUAGGGGAGCGUUCUGUAAGCCUGCGAAGGUGUGCUGUGAGGCAUGCUGGAGGUAUCAGAAGUGCGAAUGCUGACAUAAGUAACGAUAAAGCGGGUGAAAAGCCCGCUCGCCGGAAGACCAAGGGUUCCUGUCCAACGUUAAUCGGGGCAGGGUGAGUCGACCCCUAAGGCGAGGCCGAAAGGCGUAGUCGAUGGGAAACAGGUUAAUAUUCCUGUACUUGGUGUUACUGCGAAGGGGGGACGGAGAAGGCUAUGUUGGCCGGGCGACGGUUGUCCCGGUUUAAGCGUGUAGGCUGGUUUUCCAGGCAAAUCCGGAAAAUCAAGGCUGAGGCGUGAUGACGAGGCACUACGGUGCUGAAGCAACAAAUGCCCUGCUUCCAGGAAAAGCCUCUAAGCAUCAGGUAACAUCAAAUCGUACCCCAAACCGACACAGGUGGUCAGGUAGAGAAUACCAAGGCGCUUGAGAGAACUCGGGUGAAGGAACUAGGCAAAAUGGUGCCGUAACUUCGGGAGAA